rnacentral:rRNA from 1 species
CUAGUUGUGGGUCACAUUCCACGUGAUCCGUGACGAAGUUAACACAUUAAGCACCCCGCCUGGGGAGUACGGUCGCAAGACUCAAACUCAAAGGAAUUGACGGGGGCCCGCACAAGCGGCGGAGCAUGCGGAUUAAUUCGAUGCAACGCGAAGAACCUUACCAAGGCUUGACAUAUACAGGAAAAGCGUAGAAAUACGCUCCCCGCAAGGUCUGUAUACAGGUGGUGCAUGGUUGUCGUCAGCUCGUGUCGUGAGAUGUUGGGUUAAGUCCCGCAACGAGCGCAACCCUCGUCCUAUGUUGCCAGCACGUAAUGGUGGGAACUCAUGGGAGACUGCCGGGGUCAACUCGGAGGAAGGUGGGGAUGACGUCAAAUCAUCAUGCCCCUUAUGUCUUGGGCUUCACGCAUGCUACAAUGGCCAGUACAAAGGGCUGCGAUACCGUAAGGUGGAGCGAAUCCCAUAAAGCUGGUCUCAGUUCGGAUUGAGGUCUGCAACUCGACCUCAUGAAGUCGGAGUCGCUAGUAAUCGUAGAUCAGCAACGCUACGGUGAAUACGUUCCCGGGCCUUGUACACACCGCCCGUCAAGUCACGAAAGUCGGUAACACCCGAAGCCGGUGGCCUAACCGUAAGGAAGGAGCCGUCGAAGGUGG